CCUACGUGUGGCAGCAGUGGGGACUAUUGCACAAUGGGGGAAACCCUGAUGCAGCAACGUCGCGUGAGUGAAGAAGUAUUUCGGUAUGUACAGCUCUAUCUGCAGGGAAGAAGAUGACGGUACCUGAAUAAGAAGCCCCGGCUAACUACGUGCCAGCAGCCGCGGUAAUACGUAGGGGGCAAGCGUUAUCCGGAUUUACUGGGUGUAAAGGGAGCGCAGACGGCAGUGCAAGUCUGGAGUGAAAGGCGGGGGCUCAACCCCCGGACUGCUCUGGAAACUGUACGGCUGGAGUGCAGGAGAGGUAAGUGGAAUUCCUGGUGUAGCGGUGAAAUGCGUAGAUAUUAGGAGGAACACCAGUGGCGAAGGAGGCUUACUGGACUGUAACUGACGUUGAGGCUCGAAAGCGUGGGGAGCAAACAGGAUUAGAUACCCAAGUAGU
rnacentral:rRNA from 1 species